rnacentral:rRNA from 1 species
GACGAACGCUGGCGGCGUGCUUAACACAUGCAAGUCGAACGGAAAGGCCCUGCUUUUGUGGGGUGCUCGAGUGGCGAACGGGUGAGUAACACGUGAGUAACCUGCCCUUGACUUUGGGAUAACUUCAGGAAACUGGGGCUAAUACCGGAUAGGAGCUCCUGCUGCAUGGUGGGGGUUGGAAAGUUUCGGCGGUUGGGGAUGGACUCGCGGCUUAUCAGCUUGUUGGUGGGGUAGUGGCUUACCAAGGCUUUGACGGGUAGCCGGCCUGAGAGGGUGACCGGCCACAUUGGGACUGAGAUACGGCCCAGACUCCUACGGGAGGCAGCAGGGGGGAAUAUUGCACAAUGGGCGGAAGCCGGAUGCAGCAACGCCGCGUGCGGAAUGACGGCCUUCGGGUUGUAAACCGCUUUCGCCUGUGACGAAGCGUGAGUGACGGUAAUGGGUAAAGAAGCACCGGCUAACUACGUG